rnacentral:rRNA from 1 species
ACGAACGCUGGCGGCAUGCCUAACACAUGCAAGUCGAACGAUGCCUUCGGGCAUAGUGGCGCACGGGUGCGUAACGCGUGGGAAUCUGCCCUUGGGUUCGGAAUAACUCAGAGAAAUUUGAGCUAAUACCGGAUGAUGACGUAAGUCCAAAGAUUUAUCGCCCAAGGAUGAGCCCGCGUAAGAUUAGCUAGUUGGUGGGGUAAAGGCCUACCAAGGCGACGAUCUUUAGCUGGUCUGAGAGGAUGAUCAGCCACACUGGGACUGAGACACGGCCCAGACUCCUACGGGAGGCAGCAGUGGGGAAUAUUGGACAAUGGGCGAAAGCCUGAUCCAGCAAUGCCGCGUGAGUGAUGAAGGCCUUAGGGUUGUAAAGCUCUUUUACCAGGGAUGAUAAUGACAGUACCUGGAGAAUAAGCUCCGGCUAACUCCGU